rnacentral:rRNA from 1 species
GAUUAAGUACUAAGUAGANNNCCCAACANUAGUUGAUUACANUGAACAAGUUACUGUAGGGAUAACAGCGUAAUAUAUAUCUAAAGUUCUUAUUUUGAUAUAAGUUUGCGACCUCGAUGUUGAAUUNAUAUUACUUUCAAGCGCAAGAGCCUGAAAAGUGGGUCUGUUCGACCCCUAAAUAUAUACAUGAUUUGAGUUCAAAUCGGUGUAAACCAGAUUGGUUUCUAUCUAUUNUUAUUUGUGUCUUA